UACGGAGGGGGCAAGCGUUAUUCGGAAUUAUUGGGCGUAAAGGGCGCGUAGGCGGCUAGAUGUGUCAAAGGUGAAAUCCCUCGGCUCAACUGAGGAACUGCCUUUGAAACUGUCUGGCUUGAGGCCGGGAGAGGGUAGCGGAAUUCCCAGUGUAGCGGUGAAAUGCGUAGAUAUUGGGAGGAACACCAGUGGCGAAGGCGGCUACCUGGACCGGUUCUGACGCUGAGGCGCGAAAGCGUGGGCAGCAAACAGG
rnacentral:rRNA from 1 species